GGGCGUUAGCUCAGUUGGUAGAGCGCUAGGUUCGCAAUCUAGAGGUCGGGAGUUCGACCCUCCUAC
rnacentral:tRNA from 1 species